rnacentral:rRNA from 1 species
AUUGAACGCUGGCGGCAUGCUUUACACAUGCAAGUCGAGCGGCAGCGCGGGGGCAACCCUGGCGGCGAGCGGCGAACGGGUGAGUAAUGCAUCGGAACGUAUCCUCGAGUGGGGGAUAACCCAGCGAAAGUUGGGCUAAUACCGCAUGAGCUCUGAGGAGGCAAGCGGGGGACCUGCGAGGGCCUCGCGCUGGAGGGGCGGCCGAUGUCGGAUGAGCUAGUGGGGGGGGUUAAGGCUUACCAAGGCGGCGAGCGGUAGCUGGUCGGAGAGGAUGAUCAGCCACACGAGGACUGAGACACGGCCCAGGCGCCUGCGGGAGGGCGCAGUGUGGAAUGUUGGGCAAUGGGGGCGACCCUGGUCCAACCGUGGCGCGUGAGUUGAGAAGGCCUUCGGUUUGGAAAGCUCUUUCGGACGGAACGAAAUGGGCGGGACUAAUACUCCUGGCUGAUGACGGUACCGUAAGAAGAAGCACCGGCUAACUACGUG